GGAGUAUAGCUCAGCUGGUUUAGAGCAUCUGCCUUACAAGCAGAGGGUCUUAGGUUCGAAUCCUAAUACUC
rnacentral:tRNA from 1 species